rnacentral:rRNA from 1 species
UACAGAGGGGGCAAGCGUUGUUCGGAAUUACUGGGCGUAAAGGGCGCGUAGGCGGCCUGCUAAGUCGAACGUGAAAUCCCUGGGCUCAACCCAGGAACUGCGUCCGAUACUGGUUGGCUUGAAUCCGGGAGAGGGGUGUGGAAUUCCAGGUGUAGCGGUGAAAUGCGUAGAUAUCUGGAGGAACACCGGUGGCGAAGGCGACAUCCUGGACCGGUAUUGACGCUGAGGCGCGAAAGCCAGGGGAGCAAACGGG